rnacentral:rRNA from 1 species
AUUGAACGCUGGCGGCAGGCCUAACACAUGCAAGUCGAACGGUAACAGGGAUCAGCUUGCUGAUUGGCUGACGAGUGGCGGACGGGUGAGUAAUGUCUGGGAAACUGUCUGAUGGAGGGGGAUAACUACUGGAAACGGUAGCUAAUACCGCAUAACGUCGCAAGACCAAAGAGGGGGACCUUCGGUCCUCUUGCCAUCGGAUGUGCCCAGAUGGGCUGAGAUAGUAGGUGGGGUAACGGCUCACCUAGGCGACGAUCCAUAGCUGGUCUGAGAGGAUGACCAGCCACACUGGAACUGAGACACGGUCCAGACUCCUACGGGAGGCAGCAGUGGGGAAUAUUGCACAAUGGGCGCAAGCCUGAUGCAGCCAUGCCGCGUGUAUGAAGAAGGCCUUCGGGUUGUAAAGUACUUUCAGCGGGGAGGAAGGGAGUAAAGUUAAUACCUUUGCUCAUUGACGUUACCCGCAGAAGAAGCACCGGCUAACUACGUG